rnacentral:rRNA from 1 species
CAGAACCUCCACGACCGCAGCUGACACCUGCUACCCAAGGCCUACACGCCUACUGCCUAAUAGUAGACCCAGCAAAGCUGAUCUACGAACCAAGCUACCCCAGGGAUAACAGCGCUAUCCCCUUCAAGAGUCCAUAUCAUCAAGGGGGUUUACGACCUCGAUGUUGGAUCAGGACCCCCCGGCGGUGCAGCCGCUGCCAAAGGUUCGUUUGUUCAACGAAUAAUGUCCU